CCUGUAAUUCUGAUCAAUCGAUCCAAAAUAUUGGUCAACAUUGAGAAUUGUGUCCCAAAGCCAAUCAUCAGUCUGUUGACGGUUGUGCUUAUCAUUGUAAUUGUAUAUGAAUUAUUGAAUUAAUAAAUAUUAUUUAGUUUUCUCAUCACUAUGUACAUCUCAUUUUGAACUCCUGUUAUGUGAUGAAGUCUUUAGGACUAUUUGAUUCAAUAUAGGAGGAUAUAUCAUUUAGUCUUUAAACCUUAAGUUCAUGAUCAAAU
rnacentral:lncRNA from 1 species